rnacentral:rRNA from 1 species
GAUGAACGCUAGCGACAGGCUUAACACAUGCAAGUCGAGGGGCAGCACAGGUAGCAAUACCGGGUGGCGACCGGCGCACGGGUGAGUAACGCGUAUGCAACUUACCUAUCAGAGGGGGAUAACCCGGCGAAAGUCGGACUAAUACCGCAUGAAGCAGGGGUCCCGCAUGGGGAUAUUUGCUAAAGAUUCAUCGCUGAUAGAUAGGCAUGCGUUCCAUUAGGCAGUUGGCGGGGUAACGGCCCACCAAACCGACGAUGGAUAGGGGUUCUGAGAGGAAGGUCCCACAAAUUGGUACUGAGACACGGACCAAACUCCUACGGGAGGCAGCAGUGAGGAAUAUUGGUCAAUGGCCGAGAGGCUGAACCAGCCAAGUCGCGUGAGGGAGGAAGGUUCUAUGGAUCGUAAACCUCUUUUAUAAGGGAAUAAAGUGCGGGACGUGUCCCGUUUUGUAUGUACCUUAUGAAUAAGGAUCGGCUAACUCCGUG